UACGUAGGGGGCUAGCGUUGUCCGGAAUCAUUGGGCGUAAAGAGCGUGUAGGCGGCCCGGUAAGUCCGCUGUGAAAGUCGGGGGCUCAACCCUCGAAUGCCGGUGGAUACUGUCGGGCUAGAGUGCGGAAGAGGCGAGUGGAAUUCCUGGUGUAGCGGUGAAAUGCGCAGAUAUCAGGAGGAACACCGAUGGCGAAGGCGGCGACCUGGGUCGACACUGACGCUGAGGCGCGAAAGCGUGGGGAGCAAACAGG
rnacentral:rRNA from 1 species